rnacentral:rRNA from 1 species
UGGGGAAUUUUGGACAAUGGGCGAAAGCCUGAUCCAGCAAUGCCGCGUGUGUGAAGAAGGCCUUCGGGUUGUAAAGCACUUUUGUCCGGAAAGAAAUCCUUGGCUCUAAUACAGUCGGGGGAUGACGGUACCGGAAGAAUAAGCACCGGCUAACUACGUGCCAGCAGCCGCGGUAAUACGUAGGGUGCAAGCGUUAAUCGGAAUUACUGGGCGUAAAGCGUGCGCAGGCGGUUUGCUAAGACCGAUGUGAAAUCCCCGGGCUCAACCUGGGAACUGCAUUGGUGACUGGCAGGCUAGAGUAUGGCAGAGGGGGGUAGAAUUCCACGUGUAGCAGUGAAAUGCGUAGAGAUGUGGAGGAAUACCGAUGGCGAAGGCAGCCCCCUGGGCCAAAUACUGACGCUCAUGCACGAAAGCGUGGGGAGCAAACAGGAUUAGAUACCCUGGUAGUCCACGCCCUAAAACGAUGUCAACUAGUUGUUGGGGAUUCAUUUCCUUAGUAACGUAGCUAGCGCGUGAAGUUGACCGCCUGGGGAGUACGGUCGCAAGAUUAAAACUUAAAUGAAUUGACGGGGUCAUAGCUGUUUCCU